rnacentral:rRNA from 1 species
GAUGAACGCUGGCGGCGUGCCUAAUACAUGCAAGUCGAGCGAACGGACGAGAAGCUUGCUUCUCUGAUGUUAGCGGCGGACGGGUGAGUAACACGUGGAUAACCUACCUAUAAGACUGGGAUAACUUCGGGAAACCGGAGCUAAUACCGGAUAAUAUUUUGAACCGCAUGGUUCAAAAGUGAAAGACGGUCUUGCUGUCACUUAUAGAUGGAUCCGCGCUGCAUUAGCUAGUUGGUAAGGUAACGGCUUACCAAGGCAACGAUGAAUAGCCGACCUGAGAGAGUGAUCGGCCACACUGGAACUGAGACACGGUCCAGACUCCUACGGGAGGCAGCAGUAGGGAAUCUUCCGCAAUGGGCGAAAGCCUGACGGAGCAACGCCGCGUGAGUGAUGAAGGUCUUCGGAUCGUAAAACUCUGUUAUUAGGGAAGAACAUAUGUGUAAGUAACUGUGCACAUCUUGACGGUACCUAAUCAGAAAGCCACGGCUAACUACGUG